GAUUUGAGUCAAAUAGUGCUGUCAAUCGAUAAAAAAAAAUUAACUAAUUAAUCGCACAAUUUUUUAAAAUUAAUCGCGAUUAAUCGCGAUUAAUCGCAAUUAAAAGACUGAAACUUUUUGGAUAUGUAAAUGUAAAAUGUAAAUAAUGUAAACUCAAGACAAAGAAACUAUUUAAAUUCAAAAUAUGAUUGUUUAUUGGAAUUUUUGUUUAACUUGUAACACAGAUUUUCUCAUGUAAACAACAUACCUGCAAUAAACCAUCAAUAUCCUCCAAAUUAACUGUUGGCUUGAAAGCCAUAUUUAUUACAGAAAUAAAAACACAGGCAUGUAAGUACCAUUUGAAUUUCAAACAAUCAAUGCCAAUAAAAAACAAAAAUGAUUUCCAUGUUGAAUUCUAAGUGGACUGCAAAAAAAUUCCAAAGUAUAGUCAUUGCCAGUGCUUUAAGUGGGCCAGUACGCACAGGUACUCAGUACCGCCACUUCCAAAUAUAGCUCUUGAGCGUACCGCCACCUCUCCGUGCGCCCAGAACGUGCUUGUAGCGUACCGGUACGCUCAUUUGGACAUCUGUUUUAAUAGAGGUUUUAAUCUUUUACCUGCACUGCCGAUUUUCAGAGCGCCCUUCACAAUGCAAGCUUCCUAAUUCAUCCCACCCAGAGCAGAAACUGCAUUACCCAUUCACCCUUAAGUUAUACAAGUGAAUAGCGCAUGUGUCGCUUUUCCCACCGUUAAGUGUCAACAACUCAACGUGGCCGGAGAAGGUGUGUGAAACUCGUUGUGAGUUAUACUAAAGCAAAAUCUUGAGUAUUUAUUGUCUGAUAAACAUUAAAAACUGUCUGCGGAGGUUGAGUCGUCCUGCAGCCCCCGCUGGCUGUUCAUUGGCUGCAGCAUCUUUUUUCUAAGUUCUAAAAAAAUACCGUAGACGGCAAGGCACAAAUUUAGAUAUUCAUUUAUCUAAUUAAUCUGUAGCCUAUGCACAAAGACAAUAUGAUCUUUUUGCCCCCUUUUUGUUUUAAAGCUUGAUGAAGAGAGAGAGCGCAAGUUGCUGCAGCUGCGAGGAGGACAGUGAUGCACGCGCACAGGAGUGAUUGACAGUUCGCGGCACUGUGUACAAAAAAUACUCCGCUACACAAUUAUUUCAUUAUUUUCGUUUAAGCUUAUUAACGUUAGCGUUACAGAAAGGUCUGAUUUACGCACUGUUACAGUCAUACAGUCAUAAUGUUUCUUGUGGCAGACUGAAGAGUAAUCCGGCAGAGUUUUAUACUGAAACUUUCCGUCUAAAAGUCUUUCCUUGGUCUUAUCCAUAUUUCUUUGCACGUUGAACACACAUAGGCCACAACUGGAAAUAAAAAAAACUGCAACCGCGUUAAUUGCGUUAUUUUAUUUUAACGCGUUAAAUAUUUCAAAUUAAUCGAAUGCGUUAACGCGCUAAUUUUGACAGCACUAGAGUCAAAGCAAUUAUACUUUGUGUGUUAGUGCGCAAAUUAUAUUACUUUUGGUGAAGAUCUGCUUAAAAAAAAAUAUAUAAAGUGUUGAAUUAAUCAGAGGUGACAGUAAAGAGAUUUAUUAUAAAAAAUACAUGUUUUGAACUUGCUUUGAAAAUGGUUUUGAACUUUCCAUUCAGCAAAGAAUCCCCCAGACAUGUUUGCAACAUUGCUAAUAAUAUGAAAUGUUUCCUCAGCAUCAAAUCAGACAAUAUUAUUACAGAUAAUAUUAGAAUGACUCCCGAAGUUAUUGUGUGACACUGGAGACCGGAGAAAUAACUGCUGAAAAUUCAGCUUUGCAUCACAUAAAUAUAUAUUUUUUUCAUUUUAAAUAAAUCAAACUAGAAAACAAUGCUUCUAAUUUGUAACAAUCUUUCACAAUGCAAGUUUUUUUGCCGUAUUGUUGAUCAACAUGCUAUGCCAUGGUUUGUAUGAUUUUCUAAUAAAUAUCUCACUUGUGUUUAAAUAUUGAGAGAGACAUGUUGCUGGGGAUGCGUCUGAAUCUGCUGUGUUGAAAUGCAUUGAGCUUUGCUGUGGAUCAGUGAAAGAAAUCAGAGACAAGUACAUUAAAUUGUAAGAAAUCCCUUUCAACUCGACAAACAAAUAUCAGCUGUCAGCGCACAAGAACCCAAAUGAUGGCACAGAGUCUAAACACCAGCCGGUGAUGAAAGGAGCCCCAGAGAGAAUCCUGGACUGCUGUGCUACCGUGUUGAUCUAAGGCAAGGAGCAACCUUUGGAUGAUGAAAUGAGAGAAGCCUUAUAGAAUGCUUAUCUGGAGCUCGGGGGCAUUAGAGAAAGAGUUUUAGUUUUCAAAAGGCUUCCAGUUUGAUACUGACUUUGUGGGUCUGUAUACUGGCUUUGUGCUGCUGUACCUGAUGCAGUGCAGCAAUCAAGAGAUGCAAAGGCCUGUGGGUUGACCUAGGGUUGUGGGUUUGAGUCUCGGGCCAGCAAUACCACAACUUAGGUGCCCUUGAGCAAGGCACUGAACCCCCAACUGCUCCCUGAGCGCCGCAGCAUAAAUGGCUGCCCACUGCUCCA